rnacentral:rRNA from 1 species
GACGAACGCUGGCGGCGUGCCUAAUACAUGCAAGUCGAACGCUUCUUUCCUCCCGAGUGCUUGCACUCAAUUGGAAAGAGGAGUGGCGGACGGGUGAGUAACACGUGGGUAACCUACCCAUCAGAGGGGGAUAACGCUUGGAAACAGGUGCUAAUACCGCAUAACAGUUUAUGCCGCAUGGCAUAAGAGUGAAAGGCGCUUUCGGGUGUCGUUGAUGGAUGGACCCGCGGUGCAUUAGCUAGUUGGUGAGGUAACGGCUCACCAAGGCCACGAUGCAUAGCCGACCUGAGAGGGUGAUCGGCCACACUGGGACUGAGACACGGCCCAGACUCCUACGGGAGGCAGCAGUAGGGAAUCUUCGGCAAUGGACGAAAGUCUGACCGAGCAACGCCGCGUGAGUGAAGAAGGUUUUCGGAUCGUAAAACUCUGUUGUUAGAGAAGAACAAGGACGUUAGUAACUGAACGUCCCCUGACGGUAUCUAACCAGAAAGCCACGGCUAACUACGUG